AUUGAACGCUGGCGGCAUGCUUUACACAUGCAAGUCGAACGGCAGCGCGGGGCAACCUGGCGGCGAGUGGCGAACGGGUGAGUAAUAUAUCGGAACGUACCCAGAAGUGGGGGAUAACGUAGCGAAAGUUACGCUAAUACCGCAUACGAUCUACGGAUGAAAGUGGGGGACCUUCGGGCCUCAUGCUUUUGGAGCGGCCG
rnacentral:rRNA from 1 species